CAGCAGCCGCGGUAAUACGUAGGUGGCAAGCGUUGUCCGGAAUUAUUGGGCGUAAAGCGCGCGCAGGCGGCCUAUCCAGUCUGUCUUAAAAGUUCGGGGCUCAACCCCGUGAUGGGAUGGAAACUAGUAGGCUAGAGUAUCGGAGAGGAAAGCGGAAUUCCUAGUGUAGCGGUGAAAUGCGUAGAUAUUAGGAAGAACACCAGUGGCGAAGGCGGCUUUCUGGACGAAAACUGACGCUGAGGCGCGAAAGCCAGGGGAGCGAACGGGAUUAGAUACCCCCGUAGUCCCUGUCUCUUAUACA
rnacentral:rRNA from 1 species